UACGUAGGGUGCAAGCGUUGUCCGGAAUUAUUGGGCGUAAAGAGCUCGUAGGCGGUUUGUCGCGUCUGCUGUGAAAAUCCAGGGCUUAACCCUGGACCUGCAGUGGGUACGGGCAGACUAGAGUGCGGUAGGGGAGAUCGGAAUUCCUGGUGUAGCGGUGAAAUGCGCAGAUAUCGGGAGGAACACCAAUGGCGAAGGCAGCACUCUGGGACGUGACUGACGCUGAGACGCGAAAGCGUGGGGAGCAAACAGG
rnacentral:rRNA from 1 species